AGGCAGCAGAGAAAGCCAAUGCCAACGCUCAGCUCAUGUCCUCCUUUUUACUCAGUCCAGGACUCCACCCAGUGGAAGGAUGCCACCUCUUCAGUUAAACCUCUCUGGAAAUGCUCUCACAGACAUGCUAAAGGCAUGUUUCAUGGGUGAUUCUAAAUGCAGUCAAGUUGACAAGAGAGAUUAGUCUUCACACAAUGCUUGUGUACUUCUGGCAUGUCAUCUAUCUGUAUGUAUAUGUCAUAUACAUAUUUCCUUGGUAGAAAGAGCUGGCAAGAAAUCAAACUGUACUGUGAGGAAGACCCACGUGACAUCUGACUGACAUUGGUAGUCGCAAGUGUCUGAGAGACAUGAAGAUAAGUCUGACAAGGUUAAUUAAUGUAAUCUCCAGAAAUGAGAUUCUCAAAAGAUUCACAAAAAUUAAAAAUGUCUAUGUAAUAAUCACCUUGAGAAUGAGUUCAGCACGAGUCCCUUUAUGGUUUUUGUGUCUUCUUCCAUCCUCUCCAAAUCUCAAGAGCAUCGGAAAGAAGCGUGGAAGCUUGGAUGACAAAAUUAGUGAUUGGGAAGAGCACAGGGAUGAAGGCGAAGGCAACCAUGACUAUCACCCAUGGCUGCCAGCUGCAAGGAGGCCGGUGCUGGGAACAGCCAUGCAUCCAGCAUUGAUUCAGGCUCAGCUGGGAUGAAUACAUUGUACUUGGCAGUGUUGCUCUAUUCUCUGGAACCCUGCUCAUUUCUUGAAAGAGAAGCUGCCUGUGAUGUCAUUCAAAUGAGCCAACAGCACUUGUUGAGGCAGCCGACUUCCAUGUUCUCCUUUAGACUGAAUGGAAAUGGAACCAGCUCUAGGAGAAUACAAGGUGACAUGAGGGUACCUCUGCACAGAAGGAAGAAAAUAUUUUAGAAUCCUGUAGAAAAUCAGAAAGAUACAGAAAAUAGUAAAAAGUCACUCUUGUAAAUGUUGGAGUUAAUGACUACAGAGAGCUGCUGAAGGGCCCUCAAGGCUCCGAUCCAAGGGAAAAGCACUUGCAUAACUCAUCAUGGGAGACAUCUCUCUCUGGGAACCUUCUAGAAAGAAAGUAAGAUACCAAAUAAAGCCAUGCUACUGGGACCUUUGCAGGUAAGGACUUGACAAAGGUGUUUAUUUCCCUCAAAAGUCAUUUGUCUCAUUACCGCCCCUAUGAGGCUGAACAUCCCAGAGUCAUGGACAAAGAAUGCACCAUAUUCUACGCACACGUUCACAAGGUUCAGAACUAUAUGAUAAACUUUCCUGGCAAGGUGAGCUUAUCCAGGAGCAGCAGGAUAAGCUUCAAGUCUUUCAAGUGCAACGUUUCAAACGCUUUGUUCUACAACCCAAAUACAUAAAUACUAGUGGUUCACUUUCAACACUGAAUUAGUUCCUGUUUGGGAAACACACUGAGAAAACGGAGAAGUAACUGGAAAAAAAAUAAUAGAGAAGACCCCUUCAUCUAACAUACACUUCUAUGAAAGUGUGGCAUGGACAGCAUCACCCAGGAUGCCCUGAUGAGAAGACCCCUUCAUCUAACAUACACUUCUAUACAAGUGUGACAUGGACAGCAUCACCCAGGAUGUCCUGAUGCAUUAUCUCUGAAUAUCAGAUGUGCAUUAGGUCUUAGAGAUUAAGCCUAGACCUGUGGUUACAGAAUAAAUACAUCAAGUGGCCUGGGCUUCUUAAGCAAGUACAAGAUGCUUGGAAAAUCAGCUUCCCAUACUGUGCAAUUGACCAGACAAAGGAAUGAGUAAAAGACAGAGCAACUGCUGGCUAGUGACAUCUCCAUAGAGGCCUUGGCAUUAAACCCUGACAUGAAGAUCUGUUAUCACGAGAGAGAGAAAAAAAAGUAAAAACAAUUCCUUGGAGAUUAUUUUUCCACAAUAGACCAUACCCUAAUAGGGAGGAAAUAAGACUCUUACCUUCACCCUUGGUGUGGAAAGCUGAUGUGGCUUCAUUUGGGAGAUAAAAGAAGACACAUUUAUAUGAAGACAAUAAGAACUCACCAGCUCUCUGUUUCUAGGCUUUGAUAGUCUUGAACUUAGGAAUGCUAAACACAGAUUGAAUUUUGACAAUGGACCACAAAAAUGUGUGAAAACAUUAGGCCUAAAAUCCAGACAGUGGUUUCCUGAUGACUUUGGAUGCCUGUCCAGCUCUGUGGUCCUGUGUUAGUGCCUGCGGCUCUUCACAGCGAUGCAGGUGCUGGGAAAGGCUCCUGUCAAGGAAGCAAGCAGCCCUCCAGCUGGACUAUUUCCUGCAGUUCAGUUGUUAACAGUUACUCUCAGUUUUCCCCCCUUCAUAUGAAUUAAAUCUUUUGGUAUGCCAUGCA